GGCUCUCUUUCAUUGUGUAUGUGUGUUCCUGUGUGUGUGUGUGUGUGUGUGUUCCUUGUGUGUUUGUGUGUGUUCAUUGGAUGGUGAUCAGCUUCGGAGCAGCCGUUGAAGCGUCGGACAGAAAGUUGUGAACUCAGCGAUGUGGAGACAAACAGGACGUGUUUGAGUUCAACAGACGUUCUACUGAUGACAACGCCCUCCUUGGCUCCGCCCACAUCAUGGCUGACAGGAAGUUCUCAGGUGUGCCUACUCCGUCCCUGCCUUCACCUGUUCACCACAGGAGGAUCGAAGGGGUGGCGCCCAAAAGUUCUCCUGCUCCUCAGCAGAACGGCAGCGUGGCACCAGAACCGACGUCCCCCCUGCGGACCCUUAGAGGCCUAGUGGGUUCUGGAUCUGAAGGCGGCUCCAGACCUCGAGGUCAGAGCCUCGGGACGGCCCUGAGCUCCAGGACCAGAUCCUCCAGAAACAAGGUACCAGUAAAAAUCCAUGACGUGCAGCUUAGCGGGGCAUCCUGGGAACUGGAGUUCCACCUUCAUGUUCCACCUUCAUGUUUCACCAUCAUGUUCUACCAAUAUGUUCCACCUUCAUGUUCUACCUUCAUGUUCCACCUUCAUGUUCCACCAGUUUGUUCCACCUUAAUGUUCCACUUUCAUGUUCUACCAAUAUGUUCCACCUUCAUGUUUCACCAUCAUGUUCUACCAAUAUGUUCCACCUUCAUGUUCUACCUUCAUGUUCCACCUUCAUGCUCCACCAGUAUGUUCCACCUUAAUGUUCCACUUUCAUGUUCUACCAAUAUGUUCCACCUUCAUGUUCCACCUACAUGUUCCAUCAUGUUCUACCACUAUGUUCCACUUUCAUGUUCCACCAAUAUGUUCCAUCUUCAUGUUCCACUUUCAUGUUCUACCAAUAUGUUCCACCAUAAUGUUCCACCUUCAUGUUCCACCUUCAUGUUCUACCACUAUGUUCUACCUUCAUGUUCCACCAGUAUGCUCCACCUUCAUGUUCCACCAUCAUGUUCUACCACUAUGUUCCACCUUCAUGUUCUACCAAUAUGUUCCACCUUCAUGUUCCAUCAUGUUCUACCGUCAUGUUCCACCUUCAUGUUCCACCAUAAUGUUCCACUUUCAUGUUCUACCAAUAUGUUCCACCUUCAUGUUCCACCUUCAUGUUCUACCACUAUGUUCCACCAUAAUGUUCCACCAGUAUGCUGCACCUUCAUUUUCUGCCAAUAUGUUCCACCUUCAUGUUCCACCAGUGUUUCACCUUCAUUUUCCACCAUCAUGUUCUAUCACUAUGUUCCACCUUCAUGUUCUACCAAUAUGUUCCACCUUCAUGUUCCAUCAUGUUCUACCAAUAUGUUCUACCGUCAUGUUCCACCUUCAUGUUUCACCAUAAUGUUCCACUUUCAUGUUCUACCAAUAUGUUCCACCUUCAUGUUCCACCUUCAUGUUCCACCAGUAUGUUCCACCUUCAUGUUCUACCCCUAUGUUCUACCUUCAUAUUCCACCAGUAUGUUCCACCUUCAUGUUCUACCCCUAUGUUCUACCUUCAUGUUCCACCAGUAUGCUCCACCUUCAUGUACCACCUUCAUGUUCUUCCACUAAGUUCCACCUUCAUGUUCCACCUUCAUGUUCCACCAAUAUGUUCCAUCUUCAUGUUCCACCUUCAUGUUCCACCUUCAUGUUCCAUCAGUAUGUUCUACCACUAUGCUCCACCUUCAUGUUCCACCAGUGUUUCACCUUCAUUUUCCACCAUCAUGUUCUAUCACUAUGUUCCACCUUCAUGUUCCACCAUGGGUUCUCUGAUCUAAUGUCUCCUCAUACUGCUGUGGAGAUUCUCAUCAUCAGGUCCUGGUGAUGGUAGGAGCUUCAGGAAAACCAACUGAAGGUUCUGGAAGACGUUCCACCUUCAUCCAAGGUUCUCAGGGUUAGGGCUAACCCAAAUUCUUAGUUUAUUAGUAGUAAUUUAUUCUUGUAUAUAAAGGUUUUCCUGCAGUUUAUUCUCCUAUAUAAAGGUUCUCCUGCAGUUUAUUCUCCUAUAUAAAGGUUCUCCUGUAGUUUAUUAUCCUAUGUAAAGGUUCUCCUGUAGUUGGUUCUCCCAUUUAAAGGUUCUCCUCUAGUUUAUUCUCCUAUACAAAUGUUCUACUGUAUUUAUUCUCCUAUGUAAAGGUUCUCCUGUAGUUUAUUCUCCUAUAUAAAGGUUCUCCUGUAGUUUAUUCUCCUAUAUAAAGGUUCUCCUGUAAUUUAUUCUCCCAUAUAAAGGUUCUCCUGUAAUUUAUUCUCCCAUUUAAAGGUUCUACUGUAGUUUAUUCUCCUACAAGAAGGUUCUCCUGUAGUUUAUUCUCCUAUGUAAAGGUUCUCCUGUAGUUUAUUCUCCUAUAUAAAGGUUCUCCUGCAGUUUAUUCUCCUAUAUAAAGGUUCUCCUGUAGUUUAUUCUCCUAUAUAAAGGUUCUCCUGUAGUUUAUUCUCCUAUAUAAAGGUUCUCCUGUAAUUUAUUCUCCCAUAUAAAGGUUCUCCUGUAGUUUAUUCUCCUAUAUAAAGGUUCUCCUGUAGUUUAUUCUCCUAUAUAAAGGUUCUCCUGUAAUUUAUUCUCCCAUAUAAAGGUUCUCCUGUAGUUUAUUCUCCUAUAUAAAGGUUCUCCUGUAAUUUAUUCUCCCAUAUAAAGGUUCUCCUGUAGUUUAUUCUCCCAUAUAAAGGUUCUCCUGCAGUUUAUUCUCCUAUAUAAAGGUUCUCCUGUAGUUUAUUCUCCUAUAUAAAGGUUCUCCUGUAGUUUAUUCUCCUAUAUAAAGGUUCUCCUGUAAUUUAUUCUCCCAUAUAAAGGUUCUCCUGUAGUUUAUUCUCCUAUAUAAAGGUUCUCCUGGAGUUUAUUCUCCUAUAUAAAGGUUCUCCUGUAGUUUAUUCUCCUAUAUAAAGGUUCUCCUGUAGUUUAUUCUCCUAUAUAAAGGUUCUCCUGCAGUUUAUUCUCCUAUAUAAAGGUUCUCCUGUAGUUUAUUCUCCUAUAUAAAGGUUCUCCUGUAGUUUAUUCUCCUAUAUAAAGGUUCUCCUGUAAUUUAUUCUCCCAUAUAAAGGUUCUCCUGUAAUUUAUUCUCCCAUUUAAAGGUUCUACUGUAGUUUAUUCUCCUACAAGAAGGUUCUCCUGUAGUUUAUUCUCCUAUGUAAAGGUUCUCCUGUAGUUUAUUCUCCUAUAUAAAGGUUCUCCUGCAGUUUAUUCUCCUAUAUAAAGGUUCUCCUGUAGUUUAUUCUCCUAUAUAAAGGUUCUCCUGUAGUUUAUUCUCCUAUAUAAAGGUUCUCCUGUAAUUUAUUCUCCCAUAUAAAGGUUCUCCUGUAGUUUAUUCUCCUAUAUAAAGGUUCUCCUGUAGUUUAUUCUCCUAUAUAAAGGUUCUCCUGUAAUUUAUUCUCCCAUAUAAAGGUUCUCCUGUAGUUUAUUCUCCUAUAUAAAGGUUCUCCUGUAGUUUAUUCUCCUAUAUAAAGGUUCUCCUGUAGUUUAUUCUCCUAUAUAAAGGUUCUCCUGUAGUUUAUUCUCCUAUAUAAAGGUUCUCCUGUAGUUUAUUCUCCUAUAUAAAGGUUCUCCUGUAGUUUAUUCUCCUAUAUAAAGGUUCUCCUGUAGUUUAUUCUCCUAUAUAAAGGUUCUCCUGUAGUUUAUUCUCCUAUAUAAAGGUUCUCCUGUAGUUUAUUCUCCUAUAUAAAGGUUCUCCUGUAGUUUAUUCUCCUAUAUAAAGGUUCUCCUGUAAUUUAUUCUCCCAUAUAAAGGUUCUCCUGUAAUUUAUUCUCCCAUUUAAAGGUUCUACUGUAGUUUAUUCUCCUACAAGAAGGUUCUCCUGUAGUUUAUUCUCCUAUGUAAACGUUCUCCUGUAGUUUAAGAGAAGAUAGUCCUUUAUUACUCCCCAUGUCAGGAGAAAUUACCCGUGUUACAGCAGCAAUAUACAGUAAAGAUAAUAAUUAUAAUAACAGAAAUAUGCACAAUAUAUACAAGCAUGAAGGAUAAAAAUGAAUAAAUAGAGUAUUACUGCACUAUAAAUAAAGUGUGGGUAUAAAUGCAGUGGGUGAAAGGAGUUGUCCCUGAUGGAUGUGAGCUUUGCCAACAUCCUCCUCCAUGGAGUCCAGGGAACAGUCCAGCACAGAACCGGACCUCCUCACCAGUCUGUUCAGUCUCUUUCUGUCCCUUUCAGAGCUCCCUGCUCCCCAGCAGACCACUGCAUAGAAAACAGCAGACGCUACCACAGAGUCAUAGAAUGUCCGGAGCAGAGUCCAGCUCCCAGAGUUGUAGUGGAAGUCCGAUGUGUACAGGAUGAAGAGAAAGGGAGAGAGCACUGUCCCCUGUGGGCCCCAUGCUGCUGACCACUACAUCAGAAACACAGUCCUGAAGCCUCACCUACUGUGGUCUGUUGGUGAGGUAGUGGAUGGUCCAAGCAGCCAGGUGAUCGUCUACUCCCACUCUCUCCAGCUUCACCCUGAGCAGAGAAGGCUGGAUUGUGUUGAAAGCACUGGAGAAGAACAUGACCCUCACAGUGCUGCCGGUGUUCUCCAGGGGCCUUUUUCACGAAGCAGGUUCAAGAAACUCUGAGUUUCUUCCUCAACUCUGAGUCGAUCUACUCUGAGAUAGAAAACUCUGAGUUUUCGGUUUCACAACGGCUGAUAUGAGUUGGUUUAAUUAACUCGGAGUAGUUUGACCCGGAGUUACGCGCGUGCACCGCAACUCUGAAAAGACAGCAUCAAUGGAGCCCCGAUUCGACGAGUCACCAUGGAAACGGGGAAGCGAAAGGCUGCGUUUUUGAACUGGAAGUUUUUAACGCGCUCAUAUGGCGAGUUUGAACACGUUUUUAGAAAGAAGUGCAACACCGCUGCAGCUGAAAAAGAGAGAGAGACGGCGUGGAGAACAGCCCGGAUCAAUGCGUAAGUUUAAAUGUAGUCCUUUGUAAUCGUAAUAAUAUUACAGGGAAUAACUGUCUGAAUGGUAGAAUAUUAAGUUAUUUCAUAUAAAAACUUCUAUUUGCAAAGAACCACAGCGCAACACACAAUAUCUGCUGGAUGUGAGAGCAUGACUGGUUGGUAAUGUAAAUGUAAGGACGGAUUAGGUUGUUUAUGUAGAUUAUGGACUUAAAACGAUUAGGAAACGGUACCGCUCAAACCGAUAAUUGUCCGGAAAUGCGAGAACAUUUAUGCUCGGUCUGAUAACAAUCUACCGACGAAUAUUUAAUGAUCUGUGCAGUAAUGCUGCUCCUUUAUCCACUGGAUCGUUAAUAAAAGCUGUUCUACGCCAAAACUCGCUCGCUUACUGACUGAAUGAAUGAGGAAAUGAAACAGCGUGUGGCUGAAAGAGGGCGGAGACGGAGAGAAACUGGAGGUUUUCUCAGAUAAACCUGCUGGUGACCAGGUUAGAGUCAUAGAGUCUGUUACUGCGGUAACCGACCGAGAGUUGAAGUUACCCCUCUUUGUGAAACAGGCUAGAGUUACCCCUCUGUCUCAGGGUUAAGUUACCUCGCUUCGUGAAACGGAAAACUCUGAGUUUCCCUCAUUUCAGGGUUAAGAAACUCAGAGUUUUCAGUGAACCUGCUUCGUGAAACAGGCCCCAGGUGAGUCAGCGAUCUGUGCAGUAGGUAGACGACUGCAUCAUCCACUCCAAUGUUCGGUUGGUAAGCGAACUGCAGUGGGUCCAGAUUAGGGCUCACCAGGGGGAGUAGAUUCCUGAGGAUGAUCCUCUCCAUGGUCUUCAUCAGAUGAGAAGUGAGGGCCACAGGUCUGAAGUGGUUUGGCUCCCUGGGGUUCCUGGUCUUUGAGACAGGAACCAGGCAGGAAGUCUUCCACAAAACAGGAACCCUCUCUAGACCCUAACCCAGUCCUGCAACGCCUCAGUGGCCUCGUCAGACCACUUCUUCACAUACCUUAUGGUGGGGGGUUGUUUCUUCACCUUUGGUAUGUAAAUGGGCCUCAGUCUCACCAGGUUGUGAUCUGAGCAGCCCAGCGGGGGAGGGGGAGGAGCUGUAUGCAUCUUUGAUGUUUGCAUACAGUAGGUCCAGGGUUUUACUGUCUCUGGUCUGGCACGUCACAUACUGGGUGAACGUAGGGAGAGUAGCAGAGAGCGAUGCAUGAUUGAAGUCUCCUGAGAUGAUAAUAAGAGACUGAGGGUGAGAUGUUUGCAGCUGGGACACUUCACUGUGGAUGAGUUCACAGGCUGCAGCCGCAUCAGAGGGAGGGAUAUACACAGUAACAGCUAUUACAUGUGAAAACUCCUGGGGCAGAUAGAACGGACGCAGACUGUUGGUCUACAUCCUCAGUGCAGAGCCGCUGUUUUACUCUAAUGUGUCCAGCAUUACACCACCUCUCAUUCACAUACAUGGUGAGGCCUCCACCCUUCCUCUUACCACUCUCCCUCGCGUUCCGGUCCGCUCUGACGAGAUGGAAUCCAUCCAGAGGUAAAAGGGAGUCCGGAGUGAGUUCGUUCAGCCGUGACUCCAUGAACAUCAAGAGGCUGCUCUCCCUAUACUCCCACUGCAGCGUGGUCAUCGCCAUAAACUCUUCUAUCUUAUUCAGGAGAGACCUCACAUUCCCCAUUAUUACAGAUAAUUUAUUCUCCUGUAUAAAUUUUCUCCUGUAUAUAUGUUCUCCUGUAGUUGGUUCUUGUUCUAUUCUUGGGAUGAACCAGUUUUUGUCUCAGAGUGGUUCUGGGUCUGAAGAACCCUGGGAUGUUCUCUUUGGAGUUCUUCAGAUACUCCAGCUACAUUUGGUAGAACAACGUGGUUCCUCUUCUUUCCUUCGCUGUUUGUUAUCUUUUCUAUAUCUUUUCUGGAGUUGAUGAAGGUCCAGGUAGCCACAGUUCCUCACAGCUUUCUUUCUCCUUUCCUUCUGCAUUGGAAGGAACGUUCUCAGCCCGGUUCUUUGAGGUUCUGAUGAACCCAGAUGAUGUUCCAGUGCAUGGUGGGAAUCUAACAGCAGAUCCUGGUCUGUGUGGAGGUUUCUUGUAGAUUUCAACGUUGAGGUUUGCAUUCUCCUCAACAUGCAGAGCAAAGUCCACAAACAGCAGCUGGUUGUCCUUCAUGCCGCCCUGGUGAUGUUGUUGUCCACCCAGUUGAUACUCUCCAUGAAGGUUCUACUUCUGGGGCUUUUAUUCUGACCCAGGUGUUGUCCAUAUCUCUGAACCAGUGGCUGGAGAUGUUCCUCUAAACAAUCUCAGAGCUCUGUUCUCCUCCACAGUGGGUGAACCUGGAGAUCCAGUGGUACAGCUGAUCUUCUGUCUGUAGAUGCUUUGUUCUAGGUGAAGGAAGAGGUGGUCAGGCAGAGAUCCAGCAGCAGGAGGAGGUUGGUUCUGACAUGCAGGAGGUGUUUUCUGACUCUCCACUGGCUCUGAUGUGAUCUGUACUAAAACCAGGGUUUCAUCCUGGACCCGUUUCUCUCUGAACUUUGCUUCAGUGGAGCUCCAGAUGUUUCAGUGCUAAAACUGAUGCUCAGUAAGUUGCAUUAUUGCAGAUGAUGGUCUGAGUGGUGCUCCUCCUGGUCAUGCUUCAGGUCCUCUUCAGAAGGUCAUGCAUCAUGGUAUGUCCUCUUCAGGGUGGAGUCUCCAGCUGUUAGAGGUCUAGGACCUUCUUCUGGGUCUGUUUGUGGGAUCUCCACUCAGGUCCUCACAGGUAGAAGUGCUGAGGAAAGUUGUUGUGUUCCAGUGGAAGUCGUUGGCGUUAAGGACCACCAUUCAUCUUCCAGCAGAAUGAUGAUCUGAGUCUCUCCUGCCUGUCAGACUCACGUCCUUUGUUGUGUAAACUGGAAGCUCCCCCACCAUAGUCGGUUUCACAGCAGUCCUACCUGGAGACAAGCGAGUCCUGGUGGUUAGUGGACAUCAGCCAGGUGAGCUGGAGGGACUCUAAACUCUGGAACCCCCCAUCAGUCGGUCAAAACUGAAGAACAACCUUGGAUGAAGGUGGGACGUCGUCAAGAACCUACUAGAGAAGUCCUGAUGUUUCAACUGAACCUCCAAAGAUUGGUCUCCAUCUUGUUGUUUUUUUAUGCUUUUUUGUCUCCAUCUUGUUGUUUUUUGAUGGAUUUUGUUCCCGUCUUGUUGCUGUAGCAUCGCAGCAGCCAGCAGGAGGAGCCCGAGGCCUUGUUGGACCUGAUCCUGGAGUCUCAGUGUCAGAGGCUGGAGGACCAGAGAGCCAGUCUCAGCCUGCUGCCAGACCCAGAACCAGCUGCUCUUUGCAGGGCCUGCAGCCCGGACCAGGCCGAUCUGGACUUCUACUACAUGCUGAUCCAGUACCAGUCGGACAGGAUGGAGGACCAGCGCUGCUCCCUUCCAGAUCUUGAGGAUGUUCUGGGUCCGGUUCCGGAGGGUCAGGAGGACUUCUUCAGUCUGGUCCAGAGGGUCCAGUCCAGGAGGAUGGACGAGCAGAGAGCCUCAAUGCUGCUAAGACACUCGGAGGACGAGGACGCUCCGACAGGCUCCGCCCCCCGACAACAUCAUGGAUGUCCCCGCAGGAACCAAGUGGUCUGACUGCUUCUAGUGGGUCUGGACCUGCUCCUCAGGACCAGAGCCAGAUGGUGCUGAUGGACCUUUUCUGUUUGGAUCCUGUUCUUAGUUCCCAGAAUCCUCCUGGUCCCAGAACCAGGUCCUGCUUCAGGUGUAGGGACAUCAUGAGGUCCAAAUCCUGGUUCAGAUUCUGAGUGAAUUGCUCCUCAGCUGUCCCUGACAGAACCUCAGAGUCCAGUCCUGGGGUUCUGCAGAAGAACAGUGUUUAUAUAGAAAGAUGUGGACUUUAUCAUUAAUUCAUUUUCUAGUUUGGGUUCUUAUUUUUUGUUACUAAUAUAUUCUACUGAUAUCUGUCAUGUUUCUGAAACCAGAACUUCCUUCAGGAUAAAUAAAGUUCUACUGGAUCUUAAUAA